rnacentral:rRNA from 1 species
GCACAAGCGGUGGAUGAUGUGAUAAUUCGAUGCAACGCGAAAACCUUACCUACCCUUGACAUGUCCAGAACCCUGCAGAGAUGCGGGGGUGCCCGAAAGGGAAUUGGAACACAGGUGCUGCAUGGCUGUCGUCAGCUCGUGUCGUGAGAUGUUGGGUUAAGUCCCGCAACGAGCGCAACCCUUAUCAUUAGUUGCUACGCAAGGGCACUCUAAUGAGACUGCCGGUGACAAACCGGAGGAAGGUGGGGAUGACGUCAAGUCCUCAUGGCCCUUAUGGGUAGGGCUUCAUACGUCAUACAAUGGUCGGUACAGAGGGUUGCCAAGCCGCGAGGUGGAGCCAAUCCCAGAAAGCCGAUCGUAGUCCGGAUUGUUCUCUGCAACUCGAGAGCAUGAAGUCGGAAUCGCUAGUAAUCGCGGAUCAGCAUGUCGCGGUGAAUACGUUCCCGGGUCUU